AUACUUACCUGGCGUAGGGAUACCGUGAUCAUGCAGGCGGUUCCCUCAGGGCGAGGCUGCUCCAUUUCGCUGCGGAGUGGUUGACGCUUACGAUUAUUUUUAUCAAUAAAAAAUGUAUACCCGAAUAAUUAUUUU
rnacentral:snRNA from 9 species